rnacentral:tRNA from 1 species
GGAAUGGUGGUUCAGUGGUAGAAUUCUUGCCUUCCAUGAGAGAGACCCAGGUUCAAUUCCCAGCCAAUACA